CUGUACACACGCUUUUCAGCGUUCCUAUAUAGCGUCUCAUCUCAUGUAGACACGCCGAGGAAACGUGUCUACAUAUUUUGAGACGGUCCGUGUGGAGACGCUGCAAGGACGCUUUACUAGAACGUCUCUACAAUUGCCUAGAGAUGAAAUAACACGUCACUAGAUAUGUAAUUGGACGUCUCUACCGGUGUUUUUUUGUUGUAGUGAUUAGACCGCCAAUUCGAAUCCGCUAAUCGAUUGGUUAGUUACUCAGUUCUCUGAACAUUCUUCGUCUACUUUUGUUCAAAUAUUGGUUCGAUAAACUUAUAAGUUUUCUUUGUGAGAAGGGACAAUUAAUUCAUCAAGACUCGUAUCUUCUUAAUUAGGACUAAAGAAGGAAACUUGGGUCUUACAAUGAAAGCCACGCUAGUGAAAAAAUGACUAAAGUUAAAAAAACGCUUGAAGUGAAGUUCCCAAUUGUGUCGCUCGUCCUUGUACGUGAGGGCCAUCUGCCUCUCCAACUAGAGGUACAUGAUCAGGGUGAUGCCACACGACACAUUUCUGUGGUAAGUGUGCGCUCCAGGUACCUCUUCAUGAUGCCACUCAUUCCCAAGGCCAGUCAGUGUAAGAAAUCAAGGAUGUAUGCCAUGCAUGGUGUAGGCCUUACUGUCAAGGCUUAAGAAAUUGGUUCGAAAAUGAUAUCUAUUUUAGCUUCUUUACACGCUCUUCUCUCAUAGAGAUGUGGUAGAGCAGUAAACGAGUAACUGAAUUAGAGAUGGAUGGGGAUGAAUCAGGAGCGAGAGUCUCGUGUCAUGUUCAAUAUGAUUAUUGAGAGUCUCGAUUUGAGGGAGAUUGACCUCACUGGUAGACAAUUCACAUGGGCCAACUCAUUACCAAUGCCAACAUAUGAGAAGUUAGACGGAGUUCUAACUAGCAUUCAGCGGGAAGAAAAAUACCCGCUUGUCAUAGUCCAUGCUAUGCAAAGGGCAAUUUCAGAUCACACACCCCUACUAGUAGAUUCGGAGGAAGCGACACAUGUAGGAAAUAAGAAUACUUUCUCCUUCGAAUUAAGUUUGUUCGAGAGAGAAGUCUUCAUGGAUCUUAUUGCCUCUGAAUGGGCAGGAAACUAUGGUGGAUCCUCUAGUAUGGGCAGGUGGCAAAACAAGAUUAGGCAGUUACGCCAGUUUUUGAGAGGCUGGGCAAAGAAUCAAUGUGGUAUUUACAAAGUAGAAAAGGAUAGACUUAUCAAUAUCAUUAAUGAGUUGGAUGUGAAAGUUGAAAGUUCACUUCUAAGCACCUCAGAUCGGGAUAUUAAAACCGAGGCUGAGAAGAAGCUACAAAUCCUUCUUAGAGAGGAGGAGCUGAAAUGGGCCCUUCGAGAAAAGGUGUCGAAGGUAGUUCAUGGAGAUGAUAACACACACUUUUUUGACAUGAUUGCGAAUGGAAAGCAUAGGAAAAAGAAAAUUAUUCAGCUAGAGCAAGAUGAGGGUACACUCAUAGGGCAGAAGAACCUAAAAUUGUACAUUUCAGAGUAUUAUAAGAAGCUUUUUGGUGAACCGGAACACAACUUUGUCUCUCUUGAUGAGAAUGAAAAUGGUGACAUACCUAAGCUCAGUUCGGGUGAGAAUGAGAUUCUCUAGGCACCAUUUACAGAGAAGGAGGUGUUUGACGCAAUAGCACAAAAUGAAACCAAACAAGGCACCGGGACAUGAUGGGUUUCGAGUCGAGUUUUACAAAAAAUGUUGGCAUAUCAUAAAGGAUGAUCUUAUGCCUAUGUUCCAUGACUUGUUCGAUAGUCAGCUUUAGCUUUUUCACCUAAACUAUGAAACAAUACCGUUAUUGCCAAAGAAGGUGGAAGCUAUUCACAUUGAGAAGUUCAUGCCGAUCUGUGUGCUUAAUGUCAGUUUCAAAAUCUUCACAAAGCUUGGCACAAAUAGGCUGACACAGAUAGUCUAGUCUGUCGUACAACUGACUCAGACUACUUUCAUGCGUGGAAGACACAUUCUAGAGGGGGUUGUCGUCUUACAUGAAACAUUGCAUGAAAUUCAGAAAAAGAAGCUUGAUGGGGUUAUCUUUAAGGUGGAUUUCGAGAAGGCUUAUGAUAAGGUCAAAUGGCCAUUCCUUCAACAGACCUUACGUAUGAAAGGAUUCAAUGAAGCCUGGAGGGAUUAGGUGUCCUCUUUCAUUCAGCAAGGUAGUGUUGGCAUUAAAGUUAAUGAUGACAUAGAUCAUUAUUUUCAAACCCAUAAGGGACUGAGACAGGGUGAUUCAAUGUCCCUAGUGUUGUUCAAUAUAGUAGCGGAUAUGUUGGUUGUCCUUAUUGGUCGGGCUAAAGAGAAUGGUCACGUAGGAGGACUAAUCCCACACCUUGUAGAGGGGGAUUUUCCAUACUACAGUAAGCGGAUGACACGAUAAUUUUUAUGGAACACGAUCUUGCAAAAGCUAAACACAUGAAGCUUGUGUUGUGCCUUUUUGUGCAAUUGUCUAGAGUUAAAAUCAACUUUAACAAAAGUGAGUUGUUGUGCUUUGGAAGAGCAAAGAAGGAACAAGACGCUUGUACAUGAGUGCCAUCUCACGCUCCAACUAAAGGUACAGAAUCAGGUUGAUGCCACAUGACACAUUGGUGUGGUAAGUGUGUGCUCCAGGUACCUCUUCCUAAUGCCUCUCAUUCCCAAGACCGAUAAGUGUAAGAAAUCAAGCAUGCAUGUCAUGGUGUAGACCUUACUCGCAAGGCUUAAGAAAUUGGUUAGAAAAUGAUAUCUUUUUUAGCUUCUUUACACGCUCAGAGUCUCAUGUAUAUAUAAGAGGUGGAGUCAUAGAAAGAAAUAGGACGACGCUAAUUUUUCCUGCGAUGGAGUUGGCGUCGGCCAUUGAUUGACGGUUAUAUCCAACACAGUGGCAGAUAUACCUGGUCAUAUCUCGGGCCGGGCCGGGCCUAAAAAUCCCGUGGUAUAAACCCAGGCCCGAGCCCGAUCGUCGGGACUAAUUUUUAGGUCCAGGCCCAGCCUGAGCCCGAAGAAGCCCGGCCCGGUCUGGCAGGCUCGGCCGACGUGGCCGUAAAAUCAGGUUUUCACACGCCUAGGUCCGGGCCCGGCCCGACCACCGGGCUUGAUUAUCAG
rnacentral:lncRNA from 1 species